rnacentral:rRNA from 1 species
CAAUGGUUGGUACAGAGGGUUGCGAAGUCGCGAGGCGGAGCUAAUCUCUCAAAGCCAAUCGUAGUCCGGAUUGGAGUCUGCAACUCGACUCCAUGAAGUCGGAAUCGCUAGUAAUCGCGGAUCAGAAUGCCGCGGUGAAUACGUUCCCGGGCCUUGUACACACCGCCCGUCACACCAUGGGAGUGGAUUGCACCAGAAGUAGUUAGUCUAACCUUCGGGAGGACGAUUACCACGGUGUGGUUCAUGACUGGGGUGAAGUCGUAACAAGGUAGCCGUAGGGGAACCUGCGGCUGGAUCACCUCCUUAACGAA